rnacentral:lncRNA from 1 species
AUGCAGCGUCCCGCGCCCUCCUACAGCUACUGGCGCGCCGUGGGCUUGGCGCAGGCGCAGACGUGGCUCCUUAACUUACAAAUUGUACCUUGGGCUGGUUUCAUGAAAAUCCACUUGGGAUUGCCCAGUGCACACGGUAGACAUGGAAAUGGAUCAUCAGCAUCCCCAGAUUACCCAAGCAGCUGGGGUAAAGCCCAUAUCCUCCCACAAAGCAUGCUUCUUUGGAAAUUUGUAUCUAUUGGCUUUGGCACUCAAGUAAUGUUCUUGCAUUCUCCGUCAAGUCAGGGAUGAAUAAUCUCUUGAGGGUGAGUAACCUUUUAAAUGUUGGAGGACUCACAGUUCCAGGGAUCAGUGUGCAUUUAGCAAUUUGUAGGAAAGGUCAGCAUCCCUUAUGACCACAUUUGUGUUAGCAAGGCACAGAUUCUUCUUCUCCUUUGACUUAGUCUGGAGGUUGACAUCACACUCUUCUCAUGUCAAUCCAUCAGUUUGUGCAAUCUUGAUAUACAAAUGAAGUAUGACUUCUGAGUUUCAUGGGUGUGUAAUCAUUAUCAUUAUAUAUGAUUGAAAGCAGGCAGUUAUAGAAGGGUCUUGGGUGACUGUCAUUCUCCCAUCUAUAAAACUCCUGGCAAAGGGAUUAAUACACAUCCUAUAAACAGAGCCAGAGUUAAGUUCCUGAAAACAACAUCCCAUUAAUAAGGUUUAAAUCUUGAAGUCAACAUGGAAAAAAUAGGUUUAAAAAGUAACAUCUAAUUUGUUUUUCAAUACGGUUGGAAGGUCAGAUUUCAUUCCUACUCCCAUGAAAGUAAUUAGAGCUGCUCUCAUCUUAAGAAACAGAGGUAUAUUAGGGUCACACAGUGUUUUCCACACUUUGUUCUGUAUUAGAAACACCUGAGGAACUUUUACAACUCCUGAUGCCCAGGCUGUGCCUAGCACUAAUGAAACCGGAAUGGCUGGGGUGGGUGCCAGGUGUCAGUGAUUUUCAAAACUCCUUGGGUGAAUCCAAUGUGCAGCAAAGUUUAGGAAUCUUGAGUUGAAGCAAUCAUACAUUCUCUACCACACUUCAGCUUUUCUUCAUUGCCUCUUUAGCUCAGUGCAUCUUAACCUGCCUGCUCUUUAGAAUCAAGGAGCAUCUUUAAAAAAUUCCAUUCUGAUUCAUUAGGUCUAGGGCAGGGUGUACGCAUCAGAAACAUUCAGCUUUCCCAUGUGACUCUGGCAUGCAGCCAGGGUGUAGAAUCUCUGGACCAGCAGAUCACAGAAAGAGGCACAUAAGGUGGAUCUUUUGGCAUUUUUCUGGCAGUUAAGAGCUUCAUACAUUUUAAAAAUUCCUCUUCACUAGCUUUGUUGAAUGAAUUUUCUUCUUCAAAGCACUAGGCUGUAAAGUCCAAC